AUCAUUUUGGCAGAUUAGUGCAUUGAAUUUAGAAUUCAAAUAAACAAUAAAAUUGUAAAUGAUU
rnacentral:tRNA from 1 species